rnacentral:rRNA from 1 species
GGUUAAGCGACUAAGCGUACACGGUGGAUGCCCUGGCAGUCAGAGGCGAUGAAGGACGUGCUAAUCUGCGAAAAGCGUCGGUAAGGUGAUAUGAACCGUUAUAACCGGCGAUGUCCGAAUGGGGAAACCCAGUGCAAUUCGUUGCACUAUCGUUAACUGAAUACAUAGGUUAACGAGGCGAACCGGGGGAACUGAAACAUCUAAGUACCCCGAGGAAAAGAAAUCAACCGAGAUUCCCCCAGUAGCGGCGAGCGAACGGGGAGCAGCCCAGAGUCUGAAUCAGCUUGUGUGUUAGUGGAACGGUCUGGAAAGUCCGACGGUACAGGGUGAUAGUCCCGUACACCAAAAUGCACAGGCUGUGAACUCGAAGAGUAGGGCGGGACACGUGGUAUCCUGUCUGAAUAUGGGGGGACCAUCCUCCAAGGCUAAAUACUCCUGACUGACCGAUAGUGAACCAGUACCGUGAGGGAAAGGCGAAAAGAACCCCGGCGAGGGG